AACAACCUUACCUACCCUUGACAUGUCCGGAAGCCUGCUGAAAGGCGGGUGUGCCUGAAAGGGAACCGGAACACAGGUGCUGCAUGGCUGUCGUCAGCUCGUGUCGUGAGAUGUUGGGUUAAGUCCCGCAACGAGCGCAACCCUUGUCCCUAGUUGCUACGCAAGGGCACUCUAGGGAGACUGCCGGUGACAAACCGGAGGAAGGUGGGGAUGACGUCAAGUCCUCAUGGCCCUUAUGGGUAGGGCUUCACACGUCAUACAAUGGACGGUACAGAGGGUUGCCAACCCGCGAGGGGGAGCCAAUCCCAGAAAGCCGUUCGUAGUCCGGAUCGCAGUCUGCAACUCGACUGCGUGAAGUCGGAAUCACUAGUAAUCGCGGAUCAGCAUGUCGCGGUGAAUACGUUUCCCGGGUCUUGUACACACCGCCCGUCACACCAUGGGAGCGGGAUGUACCAUAAGUAGGUAGGCUAACCCUGAGGUGCAAAACCGAGGGAGGCCGCUUACCACGGUGCGUUUCCUGACUGGGGUGAAGUCGUAACAAGGUAGCCGUA
rnacentral:rRNA from 1 species